UACGGGAGGCAGCAGUGGGGAAUAUUGCACAAUGGGCGCAAGCCUGAUGCAGCCAUGCCGCGUGUAUGAAGAAGGCCUUCGGGUUGUAAAGUACUUUCAGUCGUGAGGAAGGUGUUAAGGUUAAUAACCUUAGCAAUUGACGUUAGCGACAGAAGAAGCACCGGCUAACUCCGUGCCAGCAGCCGCGGUAAUACGGAGGGUGCGAGCGUUAAUCGGAAUUACUGGGCGUAAAGGGCACGCAGGCGGUUAAUUAAGUUGGAUGUGAAAUCCCCGGGCUUAACCUGGGAAUGGCAUUCAAGACUGGUUAGCUAGAGUCUUGUAGAGGGGGUAGAAUUCCAUGUGUAGCGGUGAAAUGCGUAGAGAUGUGGAGGAAUACCGGUGGCGAAAGGCGGCCCCUGGGACAAAGGACUGACGCUCAUGUGCGAAAAGCGUGGGGAGCGAAAACAGGGA
rnacentral:rRNA from 1 species